rnacentral:rRNA from 1 species
GAUGAACGCUGGCGGCGUGCCUAAUACAUGCAAGUCGAGCGAACGGACGAGAAGCUUGCUUCUCUGAUGUUAGCGGCGGACGGGUGAGUAACACGUGGAUAACCUACCUAUAAGACUGGGAUAACUUCGGGAAACCGGAGCUAAUACCGGAUAAUAUUUUGAACCGCAUGGUUCAAAAGUGAAAGACGGUCUUGCUGUCACUUAUAGAUGGAUCCGCGCUGCAUUAGCUAGUUGGUAAGGUAACGGCUUACCAAGGCAACGAUGCAUAGCCGACCUGAGAGGGGGAUCGGCCACACCGGAACUGAGACACGGUCCAGACUCCUACGGGAGGCAGCAGUAGGGAAUCUUCCGCAAUGGGCGAAAGCCUGACGGAGCAACGCCGCGUGAGUGAUGAAGGUCUUCGGAUCGUAAAACUCUGUUAUUAGGGAAGAACAUAUGUGUAAGUAACUGUGCACAUCUUGACGGUACCUAAUCAGAAAGCCACGGCUAACUACGUG